ACCUUUAGGGUAAUCAUUCCCUGACAAGCAUGUGGGGCAAAGCAUGGUCAUUCUGACUAUGUAUUGUGCAGGCGUAAAAACCAUGU
rnacentral:ribozyme from 1 species